rnacentral:miRNA from 1 species
CCGGACAUUGUGAGAACGGCUC